rnacentral:rRNA from 1 species
AGAGUUUGAUCCUGGCUCAGGAUGAACGCUAGCUACAGGCUUAACACAUGCAAGUCGAGGGGCAGCAUGGUCUUAUCUUGCUAAGGCCGAUGGCGACCGGCGCACGGGUGAGUAACACGUAUCCAACCUGCCGUCUACUCUUGGACAGCCUUCUGAAAGGAAGAUUAAUACAAGAUGGCAUCAUGAGUCCGCAUGUUCACAUGAUUAAAGGUAUUCCGGUAGACGAUGGGGAUGCGUUCCAUUAGAUAGUAGGCGGGGUAACGGCCCACCUAGUCUUCGAUGGAUAGGGGUUCUGAGAGGAAGGUCCCCCACAUUGGAACUGAGACACGGUCCAAACUCCUACGGGAGGCAGCAGUGAGGAAUAUUGGUCAAUGGGCGAGAGCCUGAACCAGCCAAGUAGCGUGAAGGAUGACUGCCCUAUGGGUUGUAAACUUCUUUUAUAAAGGAAUAAAGUCGGGUAUGCAUACCCGUUUGCAUGUACUUUAUGAAUAAGGAUCGGCUAACUCCGUGCCAGCAGCCGCGGUAAUACGGAGGAUCCGAGCGUUAUCCGGAUUUAUUGGGUUUAAAGGGAGCGUAGAUGGAUGUUUAAGUCAGUUGUGAAAGUUUGCGGCUCAACCGUAAAAUUGCAGUUGAUACUGGAUAUCUUGAGUGCAGUUGAGGCAGGCGGAAUUCGUGGUGUAGCGGUGAAAUGCUUAGAUAUCACGAAGAACUCCGAUUGCGAAGGCAGCCUGCUAAGCUGCAACUGACAUUGAGGCUCGAAAGUGUGGGUAUCAAACAGGAUUAGAUACCCUGGUAGUCCACACGGUAAACGAUGAAUACUCGCUGUUUGCGAUAUACAGCAAGCGGCCAAGCGAAAGCGUUAAGUAUUCCACCUGGGGAGUACGCCGGCAACGGUGAAACUCAAAGGAAUUGACGGGGGCCCGCACAAGCGGAGGAACAUGUGGUUUAAUUCGAUGAUACGCGAGGAACCUUACCCGGGCUUAAAUUGCAGAUGAAUUACGGUGAAAGCCGUAAGCCGCAAGGCAUCUGUGAAGGUGCUGCAUGGUUGUCGUCAGCUCGUGCCGUGAGGUGUCGGCUUAAGUGCCAUAACGAGCGCAACCCUUGUUGUCAGUUACUAACAGGUCAUGCUGAGGACUCUGACAAGACUGCCAUCGUAAGAUGUGAGGAAGGUGGGGAUGACGUCAAAUCAGCACGGCCCUUACGUCCGGGGCUACACACGUGUUACAAUGGGGGGUACAGAGGGCCGCUACCACGCGAGUGGAUGCCAAUCCCCAAGACCUCUCUCAGUUCGGACUGGAGUCUGCAACCCGACUCCACGAAGCUGGAUUCGCUAGUAAUCGCGCAUCAGCCACGGCGCGGUGAAUACGUUCCCGGGCCUUGUACACACCGCCCGUCAAGCCAUGGGAGCCGGGGGUACCUGAAGUGCGUAACCGCGAGGAGCGCCCUAGGGUAAAACUGGUGACUGGGGCUAAGUCGUAACAAGGUA